AGCGAACGCUGGCGGCAGGCCUAACACAUGCAAGUCGAACGGAUCCUUCGGGAUUAGUGGCGGACGGGUGAGUAACACGUGGGAACGUGCCCUUUGGUUCGGAACAACUCAGGGAAACUUGAGCUAAUACCGGAUGUGCCCUUCGGGGGAAAGAUUUAUCGCCAUUGGAGCGGCCCGCGUCUGAUUAGCUAGUUGGUGAGGUAACGGCCUACCAAGGCGACGAUCAGUAGCUGGUCUGAGAGGAUGAUCAGCCACACUGGGACUGAGACACGGCCCAGACUCCUACGGGAGGCAGCAGUGGGGAAUCUUGCGCAAUGGGCGAAAGCCUGACGCAGCCAUGCCGCGUGAAUGAUGAAGGUCUUAGGAUUGUAAAAUUCCUUCAGCGGGGACGAUAAUGACGGUACCCGCAGAAGAAGCUCCGGCUAACUUCGUG
rnacentral:rRNA from 1 species